rnacentral:misc_RNA from 1 species
GAUGAAGAACGCAGCGAAAUGCGAUACGUAAUGUGAAUUGCAGAAUUCAGUGAAUCAUCGAAUCUUUGAACGCACAUUGCGCCCGCCAGUAUUCUGGCGGGCAUGCCUGUUCGAGCGUCAUUUCAACCAUCAAGCCCUGUGCUUGUGUUGGGGGCCUGCGGCUGCCGCAGCCCCCUAAAAGCAGUGGCGGGCUCGCUGUCAUUCCGAGCGCAGUAACUUAUCUCGCUUUGGUCGUGGCGGUGGGCACCUGCCGUAAAACACUCUUUUUCACAAGGUUGACCUCGGAUCAGGUAGGAAUACCCGCUGAACUUAAGCAUAUCAAUAAGCGGAGGA